rnacentral:tRNA from 1 species
AUUAUCUUGGCAGACUUAAGUGCAGUAAAUUUAGAAUUUAUAAAUGUAAUUAUUAAUUACAGGUAAUA